GACGAACGCUGGCGGCGUGCUUAACACAUGCAAGUCGAACGCUGAAGCUCAGCUUUUGUUGGGUGGAUGAGUGGCGAACGGGUGAGUAACACGUGAGUAACCUGCCUCCUUCUUUGGGAUAACGCCCGGAAACGGGUGCUAAUACUGGAUAUUCACUGGUCUUCGCAUGGGGGUUGGUGGAAAGGGUUUUUCUGGUGGGGGAUGGGCUCGCGGCCUAUCAGCUUGUUGGUGGGGUGAUGGCCUACCAAGGCUUUGACGGGUAGCCGGCCUGAGAGGGUGAGCGGCAAUGUGGGGAUGGUAAGACGCCCCGGUCCCGAGGGGGGGGCGGGAGUGGGAAUGAUGGCAGAAGGGGCGCAGGUGUGAACCGGCGCCCCGGCGGGAGGGAGGGAGGCCGCGGGUUGGGGACCUUCUUUCGGUAUGGGUAGCCCCGCAAAACGGGUUGUUGGGGGGGUGGUGGGUAAAAAAGGCCGGGCAAACUACGGC
rnacentral:rRNA from 1 species